GAUGAACGCUGGCGGCGUGCCUAAUACAUGCAAGUCGAGCGAACAGACGAGGAGCUUGCUCCUCUGACGUUAGCGGCGGACGGGUGAGUAACACGUGGAUAACCUACCUAUAAGACUGGGAUAACUUCGGGAAACCGGAGCUAAUACCGGAUAAUAUAUUGAACCGCAUGGUUCCAUAGUGAAAGACGGUUUUGCUCUCACUUAAAGAUGGAACGGCGUGGCAUUCGCUAGUUGGUAGGGUAAAGGCUCACCAAGGCGACGAUGCAUAGCCGGCCUGAGAGGCUGAGCAGGCACACUGGGACGGAGACGCGGCCCGGAAUCCUACGGGAGGCAGCAGUGGGGAAUAUUGGACAGUGGGGGAAAGACUGAACCAGCAAUGCCGCGUAAGCGAUGAAGGCAUGAGGGUUGUAAAGCUCUUUUACCCGGGAUGAUAAUGACAGUACCGGGAGAAUAAGCUCCGGCUAACUACGUG
rnacentral:rRNA from 1 species